CGUUCCGUGGCCGAAUGGUUAGUGCAUUGGACUCCAGAUCGAGCGAUCCUGGUUCGAGUCCUGACCGGGGUCGA